GGUUAAGCGACUAAGCGUACACGGUGGAUGCCCUGGCAGUCAGAGGCGAUGAAGGACGUGCUAAUCUGCGAUAAGCGUCGGUAAGGUGAUAUGAACCGUUAUAACCGGCGAUUUCCGAAUGGGGAAACCCAGUGUGUUUCGACACACUAUCAUUAACUGAAUCCAUAGGUUAAUGAGGCGAACCGGGGGAACUGAAACAUCUAAGUACCCCGAGGAAAAGAAAUCAACCGAGAUUCCCCCAGUAGCGGCGAGCGAACGGGGAGCAGCCCAGAGCCUGAAUCAGUGUGUGUGUUAGUGGAAGCGUCUGGAAAGGCGCGCGAUACAGGGUGACAGCCCCGUACACAAAAAUACACAUACUGUGAGCUCGAUGAGUAGGGCGGGACACGUGGUAUCCUGUCUGAAUAUGGGGGGACCAUCCUCCAAGGCUAAAUACUCCUGACUGACCGAUAGUGAACCAGUACCGUGAGGGAAAGGCGAAAAGAACCCCGGCGAGGGGAGUGAAAAAGAACCUGAAACCGUGUACGUACAAGCAGUGGGAGCACGCUUAGGCGUGUGACUGCGUACCUUUUGUAUAAUGGGUCAGCGACUUAUAUUCUGUAGCAAGGUUAACCGAAUAGGGGAGCCGAAGGGAAACCGAGUCUUAACUGGGCGUUAAGUUGCAGGGUAUAGACCCGAAACCCGGUGAUCUAGCCAUGGGCAGGUUGAAGGUUGGGUAACACUAACUGGAGGACCGAACCGACUAAUGUUGAAAAAUUAGCGGAUGACUUGUGGCUGGGGGUGAAAGGCCAAUCAAACCGGGAGAUAGCUGGUUCUCCCCGAAAGCUAUUUAGGUAGCGCCUCGUGAAUUCAUCUCCGGGGGUAGAGCACUGUUUCGGCAAGGGGGUCAUCCCGACUUACCAACCCGAUGCAAACUGCGAAUACCGGAGAAUGUUAUCACGGGAGACACACGGCGGGUGCUAACGUCCGUCGUGAAGAGGGAAACAACCCAGACCGCCAGCUAAGGUCCCAAAGUCAUGGUUAAGUGGGAAACGAUGUGGGAAGGCCCAGACAGCCAGGAUGUUGGCUUAGAAGCAGCCAUCAUUUAAAGAAAGCGUAAUAGCUCACUGGUCGAGUCGGCCUGCGCGGAAGAUGUAACGGGGCUAAACCAUGCACCGAAGCUGCGGCAGCGACGCUUAUGCGUUGUUGGGUAGGGGAGCGUUCUGUAAGCCUGCGAAGGUGUGCUGUGAGGCAUGCUGGAGGUAUCAGAAGUGCGAAUGCUGACAUAAGUAACGAUAAAGCGGGUGAAAAGCCCGCUCGCCGGAAGACCAAGGGUUCCUGUCCAACGUUAAUCGGGGCAGGGUGAGUCGACCCCUAAGGCGAGGCCGAAAGGCGUAGUCGAUGGGAAACAGGUUAAUAUUCCUGUACUUGGUGUUACUGCGAAGGGGGGACGGAGAAGGCUAUGUUGGCCGGGCGACGGUUGUCCCGGUUUAAGCGUGUAGGCUGGUUUUCUAGGCAAAUCCGGAAAAUCAAGGCUGAGGCGUGAUGACGAGGCACUACGGUGCUGAAGCAACAAAUGCCCUGCUUCCAGGAAAAGCCUCUAAGCAUCAGGUAACAUCAAAUCGUACCCCAAACCGACACAGGUGGUCAGGUAGAGAAUACCAAGGCGCUUGAGAGAACUCGGGUGAAGGAACUAGGCAAAAUGGUGCCGUAACUUCGGGAGAAGGCACGCUGAUAUGUAGGUGAAGUCCCUCGCGGAUGGAGCUGAAAUCAGUCGAAGAUACCAGCUGGCUGCAACUGUUUAUUAAAAACACAGCACUGUGCAAACACGAAAGUGGACGUAUACGGUGUGACGCCUGCCCGGUGCCGGAAGGUUAAUUGAUGGGGUUAGCGCAAGCGAAGCUCUUGAUCGAAGCCCCGGUAAACGGCGGCCGUAACUAUAACGGUCCUAAGGUAGCGAAAUUCCUUGUCGGGUAAGUUCCGACCUGCACGAAUGGCGUAAUGAUGGCCAGGCUGUCUCCACCCGAGACUCAGUGAAAUUGAACUCGCUGUGAAGAUGCAGUGUACCCGCGGCAAGACGGAAAGACCCCGUGAACCUUUACUAUAGCUUGACACUGAACAUUGAGCCUUGAUGUGUAGGAUAGGUGGGAGGCUUUGAAGUGUGGACGCCAGUCUGCAUGGAGCCGACCUUGAAAUACCACCCUUUAAUGUUUGAUGUUCUAACGUUGACCCGUAAUCCGGGUUGCGGACAGUGUCUGGUGGGUAGUUUGACUGGGGCGGUCUCCUCCUAAAGAGUAACGGAGGAGCACGAAGGUUGGCUAAUCCUGGUCGGACAUCAGGAGGUUAGUGCAAUGGCAUAAGCCAGCUUGACUGCGAGCGUGACGGCGCGAGCAGGUGCGAAAGCAGGUCAUAGUGAUCCGGUGGUUCUGAAUGGAAGGGCCAUCGCUCAACGGAUAAAAGGUACUCCGGGGAUAACAGGCUGAUACCGCCCAAGAGUUCAUAUCGACGGCGGUGUUUGGCACCUCGAUGUCGGCUCAUCACAUCCUGGGGCUGAAGUAGGUCCCAAGGGUAUGGCUGUUCGCCAUUUAAAGUGGUACGCGAGCUGGGUUUAGAACGUCGUGAGACAGUUCGGUCCCUAUCUGCCGUGGGCGCUGGAGAACUGAGGGGGGCUGCUCCUAGUACGAGAGGACCGGAGUGGACGCAUCACUGGUGUUCGGGUUGUCAUGCCAAUGGCACUGCCCGGUAGCUAAAUGCGGAAGAGAUAAGUGCUGAAAGCAUCUAAGCACGAAACUUGCCCCGAGAUGAGUUCUCCCUGACUCCUUGAGAGUCCUGAAGGAACGUUGAAGACGACGACGUUGAUAGGCCGGGUGUGUAAGCGCAGCGAUGCGUUGAGCUAACCGGUACUAAUGAACCGUGAGGCUUAACCUU
rnacentral:rRNA from 1 species